AUACGGAGGACGCGAGCGUUAUCCGGAUUCAUUGGGUUUAAAGGGUGCGCAGGCGGCCGUGCAAGUCAGCGGUGAAAGCCCGGGGCCCAACCCCGGAAGUGCCGUUGAUACUGCAUGGCUUGAAUGCGGUCGAGGCGGGCGGAACGUGGGGUGGUGCGGGGAAAUGCGUAGAUAUGCCACAGAACGCCGAUAGCGGAGGCAGCUCGCCAGGCCUGCAUUGACGCUCGGGCACGAAAGCGUGGGGAUCGAACAGGAUUAGAUACCCUGGUAGUCCACGCCGUAAACGAUGGGCGCUCGUCGUCGGCGGCAGACAGUCGGCGGCCAAGCGAAAGCGAUAAGCGCCCCACCUGGGGAGUACGGUCGCAAGGCUGAAACUCAAAUGAAUUGACGGG
rnacentral:rRNA from 1 species